AGUACAGUGGCGUACGGGUGAGUAACACGUGGGUAAUCUACCUCUUAGUGAGGAAUAACCCUGGGAAACCGGGGCUAAUACCGCAUAAGCCUGAGAAGGGAAAGUCGAAAGACGCUGAGAGGGGAGCCCGCGGCCGAUUAGCUAGUUGGUGAGGUAAGAGCUCACCAAGGCAUAGAUCGGUAGCCGGCCUGAGAGGGCACACGGCCACACUGGCACUGAAACACGGGCCAG
rnacentral:rRNA from 1 species